UUCUCAUUUCUCCUUCUUUCUAUUUAAUUCCAUUCAAUUGAAAUAUUCCGAGACAUUCCCCAUUUUUGUAACCACCUCUACAUACCUUAUUUUCUUCUAUUCUCAAUUCCCUCAUCAACAUCAUUAUAUAUAUCUGGCUCUGCUCUUCUUCCUUUCUAGUUCUCUUCUCUCUUCCAGAUAUAUGUACAGAUCAAGUCGUAUAUAUAGCAUGUUUUACUUAGUAGUUUGAAAGAGUUACCGUGAUGUUGGCUCUGUUCACUCAGAGAGUUAUAUGUAUAUAUAUGUAUAUAUGUGGGUUUAUUAGGUUGUGCUUUCUGAUUGAGCCGUGCCAAUAUCUCGGUUGUCUUUCAUUUCUCUCAUGCCAUGCCUAUCAACUCAGUAUCGAACGAGUCUCUCCUGUGAGGUUUGUAUCUUUGAUUUCUAUAAAUCUAUUGUUUUUUUUUGUUUUGAAAAUUAUAGUUCUGUAAACUCUCUUGAAGUGAUGAUCCCUAAUAACCCUAACUAACACCAUCUUUCUGGGCAAUAUAUAUAUAUGUGCGUGUGUGUGUGUGUUUAUAUCUUAUAUAACAUAUUGUGAAAAAGUGUAACGUUCAUGCUCAGAGAUAGAAUUGUAUAUAUUGUGCCACCAUAAAUGUGAAAGAAUGAAUAGUAAUUGGUUACUUUGAAGAAAUUUUCCGUGAGGGGUAUGGUUUAUCAGAUCAGAUCUCCUAUAAAGAAAGCUCAAAAAGGUUUGCAAGUAAUCGAAGUUGGUGUGAGCAUAGGAGUGAAAUUCCUUCAGUUUCUCUUCUGUUUUUUGUUUUGUUUAUUAUUGUUUAUUAUAUAUAUAUAUAUAUAUAUAUAGAGAGAGAGAGAGAGAGAGAUAACACAAAGUAGAUAAAGAGAUGUCUUUAUCAUAGUUUUGUUAAUUUUGGGAAUCAAGCAUUCUAUGUGUUCUUUAAUAGGAUGAGAAUUUAUGUA